GCAUGUGCGGAUGACUGGCCGCAGGCGGCCGGGCGGGCUGUAACCCGCCGCUGAACUAGCGCUUCUGUGUCCAGAGGCUUCGGCCUGGCCGCCGUCGCCUGUAAGCUACGAGGAGGAGAUUUACGACUUGGCCGGGCGCAGCAAAGGCCAGACUCUGCGCGAACAGGCGCUGCGCACCAACCGGCAGGCACCUGGCGGGCACCAUCGCACGGUGGCGCAGAAGCCCCUCAAUGGCCAGCGCCAGCUGCAGCCGCGGCCGCGCAGUCGUCCCACCUGAGCUUGGGCGAAUGUGGAUUGGGAAAGUCGACAUUAAUCAACUCAUUAUUCCUCAUAGAUUUGUAUUCUCCAGAGUAUCCAGGUCCUUCUCACAGAAUUAAAAAGACUGUACAGCUGGCAGCCUGUUAUCGAUUACAUUGAUAGUAAAUUUGAGGACUACCUAAAUGCAGAAUCAUGCGUGAACAGACAUCAGAUGCCUGAUAACAGGGUGCAGUGUUGUUCAUACUUCAUUGCUCCUUCAGGACAUGGACUUAAACCAUUGGAUAUUGAGUUUAUGAAGCGUUUGCAUGAAAAAGUGAGUAUCACCCCACUUAUUGCCAAAGCAGACACACUCACACCAGAGGAAUGCCAACAGUUUAAAAAACAGUUGAAAAUGGUGAACAUUGUUAUUUUACAAUUCUAAGAAAUAUGUUGAUAAGGUAACUUUUCCGGUCACACACAACAGACUGAUUUUCCUGUGGAAGACCUCACAGGAGUUCUCUUGAACCAGGAGACUAUUUUGAGCUGAAAUACCUGGAGCCCUCUCAAGCUAUUUGGGCCUUUCAAUUUGAAACCCAGGUUUGGAUGAUUCUAAGCUCUAUGGCAGAGACUGUAAUCAUUUUCUCUUCACCCUCAGGUUGGGGACUCACCCUCAGGGUUGGGAGUGACUGCUGUCUCUCCAGCCCCCACCAAUUACACCAUGUUCUGGUUGUUAAAAUCCAGUGUAUGCAUGAAAUGUAAUAAAAGUAUCUUCGCAGCA